rnacentral:lncRNA from 1 species
UGUAAUAUUCGUAGUCAUUGUAAGGUCUUCUUAAUGAAAUAAUAACUAUAAAAAUGAUUGAUAUGAUACCAGAGAGAAGGUGGUUGGUUAAUACAUUUUCUAUCUUUUCAAAUUAGUUCUGUAUAUUUGAAAUGAUUCAUGUAUCUCUGGUCUAUUUCAGGUUUUAUAAGAUCCUAUAUAAUCUAUCCUGUAGUUUCUAAAAGAUUAUAAAUCCUAAAUUAGUUGAAAUACUCUCUCAGGAAUGUUUGCUUUCUUUAGUAAACAGAGCAAAGGGCUUGCCAUAUAAUAAUGGUGGAGUUUUAAGAUUAAACAUGGAAACUAUUUUCCUCCAGAUAACAUGACUAGAAAAUCCACAGAGCAGAAAAUAUGCUGUAUUUUCUGAUAGGGAAGGUUCAGGGACUUGAAAUAGAGGCUUUGCAUCAAGCUGUGUGGAAAAAAACCAGAAGAUAAAUUUUAAGCCUUAAAAUUUGGAGUCUAUCCAGGACAGUGGCUUUUUGUUCAGGGUUAACUUCACAUUAGUUUGAUUGACAUUUGCAAACAAUUAUGUCUUCCCAAUUCUCAAAAAAUCCAUAAAGUUAUCAGAAAUUAUAUUAUAUAUGCGUAUAUAAUGUAUAUGUAAUAUAUAUACAUUAAAAGACAUAAUAUAUCUGCAUUAUAUAGUCAUUGUUGUAUUCCAUAAAAAUGUUUUCUUGACUUCCAAAUGCUGAGCCAGUAUACUAGACUUACCUUUAAUCAUCUUACCCCUUAUAAGAAAUACUUACUACUUGCAGGGCAGAAUUAUCUAAUUUAGAAUAAAACUGUUAACAUUACAGAUUACUGGAGUAAUGAAGGAAAGAUAUUAGUGCUAAAGCAUUGGUUAAUUAAUAACUAAAAGUGAUGACCUUUUUGUUUGGCUUCUAAAUAUAUUUCCUUUUUUUUUUCCUGUUGGAAAGUUUGAGAUAUUCAUGUACACAAACAUGCAGGCACAAUCAGCCACAUACAAAUUCAGUUUCCUCUUUUCUUUAUUACUUAGCAGUAAAUAAAUUAAGCAGCUAAGGCAAACAAAACUAAUGUUUAUUAUUAAACAGAUAGGAAGGUAUGGAAUAGGAAGAAAUUGCUGAAGUGAAGUAGAUGGAAUUGUGAAGAAGGGUGAGGGGUAGCUCUAGCUGUUGAGUGGGCCCACACAAGGACAUCUACUCUCUUCCCAGGCUUCUUAGAACUCAGUUUCACCUUAUUCUCCUAGUUUCUCUAGAGUUGUUCAUUUUCAUGGGGCAUCUUAAGGCAUGCAUGCAUUAGCCCCAUGCAUGGAUUUGUCAUUCCUUCUGUGGAGUCCUCAGGAAACUGAUAUCACAGUAGGAAACAGAGGAGAACAUGACUUUCCCUGCCUACUUAAGACAUAGAUGGGGAAUUGUGGGCUUUGUAGCUAUCAGGUAUUUUGUAGUGUUCCAAGUAUUUUCAAAACUAACUCAUCUAAUUUUGAUCUGAUAGAAAAUAAGAGACUUCAAAUAUUGGCUGUCUCCUCAUUUCAUCUCAAAGGUAGGAGUCCAUUAUCUCUUUCAUCUGCUUAUUAAAUUAGUCUGAGUAUAAAAUGUAUAUGCAGUUCUUCUUAACAUAGAUAUCUGUAGAGUGCUAUUGAACCAUAGCCUGCAUGAAGAUUCUUAAGAACUGCAUUCCAGUGAAUGCCCCUGCUACCUUUCUAAUCAGAUAUAUUGGGAAGCUUUAGCCUAGGCAAGACUCUAAAGUUUCCUCACUUUCCUACCAGUUAGGAGAACCCGGUGCCCUAAAUAUUCAGACCUCUCAAGAUUCUUACAAGUGUUCCAGAGCAACCCUGAGUCUCUAAUGGAAUUUAUUGAAUGCCUAUUACUACUUAAGAAGUUGCAGGAGAGUUUAGGAAAAAUGCUAUAUUUAAAAGU